AUACGUUAGUGCUUUGACGUUACCGACAGAAUAAGCACCGGCUAACUCUGUGCCAGCAGCCGCGGUAAUACAGAGGGUGCAAGCGUUAAUCGGAAUUACUGGGCGUAAAGCGCGCGUAGGUGGUUUGUUAAGUUGAAUGUGAAAUCCCCGGGCUCAACCUGGGAACUGCAUCCAAAACUGGCAAGCUAGAGUAUGGUAGAGGGUAGUGGAAUUUCCUGUGUAGCGGUGAAAUGCGUAGAUAUAGGAAGGAACACCAGUGGCGAAGGCGACACCCUGGACUCAUACUGA
rnacentral:rRNA from 1 species